AUUGAACGCUGGCGGCAUGCCUAACACAUGCAAGUCGAACGGCAGCACGGCAGUAGCAAUACUGUGGGUGGCGAGUGGCGGACGGGUGAGGAAUACGUCGGAAUCUGCCCAGUCGUGGGGGAUAACUAGCCGAAAGGUUAGCUAAUACCGCAUACGACCGAGAGGUGAAAGCGGGGGACCGCAAGGCCUCGCGCGAUUGGAUGAGCCGACGUCGGAUUAGCUAGUUGGUGGGGUAAAGGCCCACCAAGGCGACGAUCCGUAGCUGGUCUGAGAGGAUGAUCAGCCACACUGGAACUGAGACACGGUCCAGACUCCUACGGGAGGCAGCAGUGGGGAAUAUUGGACAAUGGGCGGCAAGCCUGAUCCAGCAAUGCCGCGUGUGUGAAGAAGGCCUC
rnacentral:rRNA from 1 species